UAUGAUGAGAGAGAGUAUUGUAGGAGUGAGAGAUAGGGGGAAAGUCACGGUGUAGUUUUCGGGCUAAAGUCAUUGAAUUCAGUGGCGGAGCCAGCGCCCGGCUACCUAGGGCAGCUGCCCGGGCUCGACCGUCUCGAAUCACUUCCAUGGAACUCUUCUCUCCCUCAACACGAUGAACAAGAUGACAACUCUUUUUCACUCUUCACUGGCUCCAAUGAACUCAAAGGAGUUUUGCAACUUGCACACUAAGUGUUUGGAAAGAAAGAAGUAUUGAAGCAAGCUCUUUUAUUCUGGAGUAAUAUCUGCCAUGAGAUAAUGUCGAGAUUUUGAAGCAAGCUCUUUUAAACAACAAAUUUGGUCCGUGAAAUUACUCCAAGAAGAAAGUUAAUGCAUUUAGAGACCAAGAAAACUUAGGACUAUAGUGACAGAGUAUUAGAGUGAAAGUGAUAGUGAAAAAAUGAUUUCAUAUGGAAGUGGAAUUUUUAAAAGGAAAUGAUUGUCAUUUGAAACAUUUGAAGGAAAUGAUUUGUUGCUGCUAGCAAGGAAAGUACCUUUAAAACCUAUGAAUGAAGUGAUUUAUUAAUGUUGGAGUGGUGGGUCUUUAGACUUUUGAUUUGCAGUUUGCAAUGAAAAUAAAGCUAAUCUUUUAAAAUUAUUUUAUCGUUCGGUUUUAUAGGUUAGAGCUGCAGAGCUAAGGAAAAUAUUGGUGGAACUUGGGCCAGUAUGUCAUAUUGCUUAUUUUAUAAUUGUCGAAAGUUUAUUUUUUUAAGAUACCCUGUCGUUGAACCAGGUGCUUUCAUGAUUGACUAAUGGUAGUUUGUAGAGUCAUUGAUGUUAAUUUCAUAUCAGAUAUGUCAUAAAAUGGAUUGCUAAAUUUUGUAGAGUUAAAUUUUUUGCUAGUUUGUUGGGGUUUGUCGUGACUCAUGUCAUAGUAUUUUUGUUCUAAUAAAUUUGUUGGGUUUGUCAUAUGAGUUGUAACAUACUAACAUCUAAUAGGAGCCAAAAUUUCAUAAAUGAGUUUUGAAUUUAAAGUAGCAAGCCAGCUUAAAAAUAUUUUCACUCGCAUGUUGAAGAGAUAACAAAUUGAAUCUCACCAUAUUUGCUUCCCUUUUACGGUCUUCUAUCUUUAAUUUUUUUUGGUCUCGUUAUAGUUUAUCUUAUUUCUAGCUUGUUGAAUAGCUGGGGACAUGG